rnacentral:rRNA from 1 species
ARAACAACUCUCAGCAACGGAUAUCUUGGCUCUUGCAACGAUGAAGAACGCAGCGAAAUGCGAUACGUAGUGUGAAUUGCAGAAUUCCGCGAAUCAUCGAGUCUUUGAACGCAAGUUGCGCCCUAGGCUUGUCCUCGGGCAUUUCUGCCUGAUCGUCAUC